UACGGAGGGGGCGAGCGUUAUUCGGAAUUAUUGGGCGUAAAGGGCGCGUAGGCGGCCCGGUAAGUCAAAGGUGAAAUCCCUCGGCUCAACUGAGGAACUGCCUUUGAAACUGUCGGGCUUGAGGCCGGGAGGGGGUAGCGGAAUUCCCAGUGUAGCGGUGAAAUGCGUAGAUAUCGGGAAGAACACCCGUGGCGAAGGCGGCUCUCUGGGACGGUACUGACGCUGAGACGCGAAAGCGUGGGGAGCGAACAGG
rnacentral:rRNA from 1 species